rnacentral:rRNA from 1 species
GAUCCUGGCUCAGGACGAACGCUGGCGGCGUGCUUAACACAUGCAAGUCGAACGGGCUCUGUCUGGCUGUGUGCUGGGUGGGGUUAGUGGCGAACGGGUGAGUAAUACGUGAGUAACCUGCCCUCUUCUUUGGGAUAAGCCUUGGAAACGGGGUCUAAUACUGGAUAUUCCUGUCUGGUCGCAUGGCUGGGUGGGGAAAGUUUUUUCGGUGGGGGAUGGGCUCGCGGCCUAUCAGCUUGUUGGUGGGGUGAUGG